AAAUACAGCAGGUGUAAAACGAUAACAUUCAGUGCUGUAUCAAUAACAAGAUCGUGUGUAUCUCUGUUUCCUAUACUGCGAGAUUUAACUCUUCUACGUUUGCUUAUAGUUUUUCGUUUGCUCUCUCAAGUGUUAGUGUGAUUUCUUAAAAAAAAAAGAAAGAGCGUAAUUCUGCCGAAAGACGCCACCGCGCCGCCAAUACCCACAGCGAAUUCAAUCACGUGGUCGUAGCAGAGGUUAUAAGUAGCGCCGUCCCCGUAUAUUCCGUCUCUUUUCCAAAGUAACUAAAGAAAGAAGUACAAGUACAGUGAUCAGUGGUCUGCGAAACAUCGAGGUUCAGAAUGCCAGAAACAACAUCGACAAAUGGAUAUUCAAACGGCCAUUCCGGCUACGAAAUGGCGGAUGGUGCUGAAUUUCUCUUCACAUCCGAAUCCGUCGGAGAGGGACAUCCAGAUAAAAUGUGUGAUCAAAUCAGUGACGCCAUCUUAGACGCACAUCUUGAACAAGACCCAAAUGCAAAAGUUGCCUGUGAAACCGUUGCAAAAACUGGAAUGAUUCUUCUCGCCGGUGAAAUUACAUCAAAAGCUGUGGUCGACUAUCAAAAAGUUGUCAGACAAACUGUAAAGCACAUAGGAUAUGACGACUCUUCAAAAGGAUUUGAUUGGAGAACCCUGAAUUUGCUAGUAGCUUUAGAAGAACAAUCUCCGAAUAUAGCAGAAGGUGUUCACGGAAACAGAGACGAACUAGAAAUAGGGGCAGGGGAUCAGGAUUUGACCACAAGACAUGCAACGUUUUAUUGGCAUUGGAUCAGCAGUCUCCAGACAUUGCUGCUGGAGUGCACAUAAACAAAAACGAGGAAGAAAUUGGAGCUGGUGACCAGGGUCUUAUGUUCGGUUAUGCCACGGAUGAAACAGAAGAAUGUAUGCCACUUACAGUAGUAUUAGCACACAGAUUGAAUCACAAAAUUGCUGAUUUGAGACGAUCUGGAGAAUUCUGGUGGGCCAGACCAGACUCAAAAACACAGGUUACCGCAGAAUACACUUUCCAACGUGGCGCUUGCAUUCCACAAAGAGUUCACACAGUUGUUGUUUCGCUCCAACACAGCGACAAAAUCAGCUUGGAAGAAUUGAGAACCGAAAUCAAGGAAAAA
rnacentral:misc_RNA from 1 species